UGUGCAGUUCUUUCUAUGUUCACUGCCCACCUGGAGAUGAUUUAAACUGCCACUGAUGAGUGCAGUACCUGUGUUCCCCAGCUGGCUUCCCAGAAGCUAAUCAAGCAGAAGAGAACCAAACCUGGGUUUUGGAGUGGUUUUUUUUGUUGGUUGUUUUGCACAACCUGGGCAUGUUCAGUGCACCUAGCAGACUGGAACCAGCAGUGCUCUUUGUGACAGUGCCCAGACCAGGACUGCUCAGAGCCAUACCCAGUCUCAAAGGAGUGUAAGGGGCACCAGCUUGGUGUAAAGAGGCAGGCUUUAUUGGCAUGAGAACCACAGCACAGCAGAGACUUUGCUGCUGGAUAUAACCCGAGUGACCAGAGUGGAGCAAGAAGAGAAAGAGAGGAGAGGCAAUGCUGCUGCACGACCUUCUUGUUGACUCAGCCAUGGGAGCCGAGCUGAAGAGAAGCGUAAUGUUCCCUUGGAGUUCACAGCACAGAGAAACCCCGAUGGGUGAGCCCAAGACUUUGCUCGGGGUCAUUGUGAAUGAAGAAACACAUCAGCUGAAGAGAUAAAGCACAAAACAAUAAGUUUUCUUGUACCUGCGUGGAACAGCCUGAGUGAGCAGAAGGACGGAGUGGCACUGCACUUCCCAUGAAAAGAAGCCACAUUUGCCGCAGCUUUGCACGAAGAGCUCAUGUGGAGGUGAUUAUCCACGAUGACCUGUAAAUUUUCCCCUGAGUCACAGCUUCCCAAGAUAGUCUGACAUUCUCUUUGUUUUGAUACUAGGCCCUGAAUUAGCUGCUGAUAUGAAGUGGGAUGUUUUGGAAAGAGUUUAUAUCCAGGACACUGCACAGAGCACUGCAAAGAUUGUCUCCACUGGGAGGUGGUGUACAGGUUUGGCUGGCUGCAUCUGUCACCCUUGUUAUGGAAACAAUAGGACUUCAGCCACAGCAAAACCAUGCUACAAUCUGGCCUAGAGAAUGUGCUUUGUAUCGUCCCUGGAACUACCAAAAUAUAUGUUUAAAAAGUUACUUCCUUCUUUUCCUGAGUGAUGUGGGGAGAGGGGCCGGGUCCUUCUGGGGAGAGAAAGCAAAGGAGAGGUCUCCUGGGAGUGUGGUCAGAAGUGACAGGGACGGACCAGAAGCUGCUCUUGUGUAAGGAUGGUGCCUCCAGCCAUGCCCAUAACACCCAUCCCUCGACUCUUGUACUUUUGACCCAAAUAACCCUUAAACCCAACUCAGCAACAACAGGGAAUCAAAUGACACUAUCAGUGUAACAGCAUACUAGUAGGUCAAAAGCAGCAUCAGUUUUGAUCCUGAACUACUCAUUAAGGUGACUAUGGGAUUGCAUUCAAAAACUUUGUUAGAAAAAACUAACUGUCAGGACACAAGGGGUCUGGCCAUGUAUCUUUCCAAGCAAAGAAAUCAGGAAGCAAACAAACACUGGUGAAUCCUAGGGUUCAGUGUUUAAGUACCUUUAAUUAAUUUGAGCAAUUCAUUCUGAGACACACAAAAUGCUUACCAAAUGCAAAGUGAAAGUAGAAUUAGUUAUCAGUAUGUGAUUUGUAAACAAUGCUUGAAAGAGAAGAACACACAGGGAAAAUAUUUGCCUGUAUGGAGCAUAUUUGGUGAUUUGAUAUUUUGUCUCCUGGCCACUGCUGAAAGCUGAGCUGUCAGCACUGACUGUGCAGCAUUGUUCCUGGGUGCUAAUGAGCAGAUCAGGGCCAAACAUUUUAUACAUCAGUUUAGGAAUGUAUUUUCCCCACAUGAAUUACUUUACAUUUGUCUGAAGUGGUUAAUUUCAUUUAAAAAAAAAAAAAAAAAAACAACAACAAAAAGUAGCACAGUUUCUUCUAAAAUCCCCGUGACAGUGCAGGAUGAUAUAGGUUAUCUAAGGUUUCUGAAAUCAAAUAUCCUCCUUAGCCAUGAGUACAAGAAACCUUGCUACAGACUCUUAUGAAACCAUAAACCAGGAUGACAAAUGUAUUAUUUUGCAUUUAGGGAUUCUAUUUCUUCCCCAAAUAAGAGGACAUAUAGGUCUUUUUAGGUUUUGUAUGUUUGUUUUUCAUUUUAUUUAAUAAUUAUUAUUAUUCUUACCUAAAAAAAUAUAGAUGUUCUUAUCAUGUACACCAACGUCUAAUCCAUAUGAGUUACACAAAAAACGUGUUCAUCUUUUCAUUCUGGAUUCAUGACUCAUCUGUUUAAUCAUGCAUCCUUUAUUUUUGAACAAUACCCCAUGAAACCUUCAACUACAGGAAAAUAUCUUUCCACGUAGUUUAUUGUCACUGGUAUUUAGUUAUUACUGAAAUCACCUAUUAGGAGUUAUUCAGGAAUUGUGUUCUUGUCUUGAGAGGAAAGGGAGGGAUGAAAUGGUCUGUGGCUCUUCUGCAGUCUAUGCAAAGAGAUUGCACGUAGAAGACAUCAUGCAGGGUACGAGAAAUACAGGAACAUUACAAAUGGUACUAUUGCUACUCCCCCAAAAUCAAACAAAGGAAAGCUGAAAAUCCACAUUAUUCUAAAGGGGAACACAGACAAAGGCUGUAAUUACACAACUGAGCUAUACUGAUAAAGCUAACUUUCAAAAACAGGCCUGGAUAUUUUUUUUCUCCACCAGUGAAAUCUCUGGAAAGCCCUAAAUAAUUGACUGUUCAAGAGCCAGCAACUGAAAUAGAAGUUGGAAAUGCUGUUUGCACAGGUGGCUGGCCUACUGGGAGACUAAAUGCUUACCCUCGCGCUCAUAUCAAUUUUUCUGAGACUCUGUCUGUUAAGUGUCUGCCCAUUUUGAUAACAACAAAAUCUUUUAGAAAACUGCUGAUGCAACAUUUAUAUUGCUAUCUUUAUGGGACUGAAUUUUUCUUUUUUUCUUGUUUUCAUUUUUGCUUGGAUAUAGUGAGCAAAGGUACUGGAAGAGCUGCCAGGACGGUAAAGUAACAAACCAAUUAAACAACUACCCCAAAUUUCCAGGAUCUAAAAGUAAACAAGCCGAGAGACCUUAUGGGGAUCUAGAUUGGUUUACUUUAAAAGUGUGGUUUGGACUUCUGUACAAACAAUGAAGUUCAACCAUUCCUCCUUGCAGUUGCCAAGGGACUUACCUGUCUUUUGCAAAAGCCUGACGUAUAUGAAAUGUUGCCAUCUGGUCCAGACACUGCAGCAAGCUUCAUACCACACACAAAGACUUGCUUAAAAUGAAAGCUGCAACUUUUAUUAGCUCGUCCCUGUGCAAAGCAGUGACCGGGAUAAAUCCUGUGAGAUUUGCCCGAAUAAGCAGAUGCUGAGACCAGAGCAGUCCUUAAAAGGAGGCAAUACCUCAUCUUUCCACAGAGAUCCAUCCAAGCUACAAGCAGAAAGUCCCUUUUGGAGCAUAAUAAGACUUCUGGUGGCAUUGCACAUCUUCUGCACUGUGUGGCUCUUUUCAAACCUUGACUUACAAAGUCAAAUGUUUUUGAGAAAAGCAGACCUACUUAAGAAAGAAAAACAAAAUGCAACAGUAAAUUGCUAGCUCUCCUAUCUAAGGAGGAAAGCCAGAAAAACAAAACAAAAACAAAACCAAACUCUAAUUUAUGAACUCACUGCCAAAAAUGUACUGAUUUUCAGUCCCGAUUCCUAAUUGCAAAACAUUUGGAUUGCCAGCUCUGUGCGAUUCAGAGCAGUGAUAGGGAAUCAAGCAAAUGCCACCCACCAAGUGUUUGGACUCAGCAGCAGCUCUGUUCCCCUUGUUACCUCGGUUAACCUAGACCUGCUCCCUACCCAAACUGUUUGUUUAACCUAAAGAAUAAUAACGAUCCAGUGCUGCCAGUUUGUCAUGUGGGAGAAGUUACUUAGCCCCUCUUAAAGAGCUCAUGGGCCAAAGCAUAGGAGAAAGUGUGAAAACUAGCAGUAAGAAACUGAAAAGCCCCAGCAAAGAAGAGGUGGUGAAAGAAAACUGCUAUAGAAGUCUAUUAAAAUCUUGAAGGAGAAACCUAAGUUGCCAUUUUAAGGUGUACAAGUCUCCCCAGUCUUCUUAUUGCUGCUAGUUAAGGUCAUUGGUAGGCAGUGGGACAUGGGAUGGUGAUUAACAUUGCCUACCUCUGGAUGUAUCUCUGGCACUGGGUCAUGGAUGAGGAACCUCAGAAUUGGGACUGCCACUGAAGGCAGCGUUGCUUAUCCAGGCUCCUUUACACUGAAGCUUGUACUGUUGUCGUGGCCGUGCACUGAUUUCUCUUGCUUGUUAUCCUGAUCUCAGAUGCCUGCUCUAUUGGCUAUGCAGAGUUGGAACUACUGUUGCGGGGCUGGAGAAAAUGUCUGAGCAGAGGGAAGAGGGGGGGAAAGCAUGGGUGAGGAGCAGAGAAGCCCUGCAUAAUGAAUAAGGACUUAAAAAUAAUGUGAGGGUGAUUAAUAUCAUUACAGGAUAAAGCUGAGGCAGUGAUGCUGGAGGCUUCUGAGACUGUUGAUGUGAACCCAGCAUAUAGAGAUUACUAGAAAUACAGAGAAUAAUUCUUUACUUUUAUUAACCCAAAACAAUAUUAUUCAAAUACUGCUAAAGUGGGAAGAUCUGGGAACUGUGGUAAGCCAGUUAAUGUAUUGGCAGAUAUUCUUCCCCAUUAAUAGGAAACUUAGAAGAGACUACCCUCUACAAAUAUGUAGCACUUGGGAGUUCACAGUAAUUUCAUGGAUGGUUUUUCUUUCCUCUUUGUUCAAUGUUAAUGAGAAUUUGAUGGGACUUUUGCAAGAUACAGACUAUUAGUGACAUCAUAAAAUUCUCGGUCACGUACUAAUGGCUAAAGAGAGGAACCCAGCCUCUGAUGAUGCUAAUUCAGCAUCCUGCACAAGGACAAAAUCUUUGUUUUUAGACAGAAAGUAUAAAGCAGCUCAAGUGGUAAAGUUCUCCCUAUACUAUUUUGUUUUCAAGCCGGCUCCCUUUUCACAAGAACCCAUCCCUAACAGGCUGUCAUCAGGCUCAUGCAGGGUAGUACUGAGAGCCCACCUACCUCAGUGACUAAUCUUUCUAUUUUGGACAGGGCGGAGUGUGCGGUUUCCAGGUCAGACAAAGGGUAUCCCUGAAGGAGAAUGAUUCGAUUUAUGGAUUUCCUGUACUUUCCUAUUGUCUGAGAACUAAUGUCAGUACUGUACCUAGUUAUCAUC